rnacentral:rRNA from 1 species
CCUACGGGAGGCUGCAGUCGAGAAUCAUUCACAAUGGGGGAAACCCUGAUGGUGCGACGUCGCGUGGGGGAAUGAAGGUCUUCGGAUUGUACACCCCUGUCAUGUGGGCGCAAAUUAAAAAGAUAGUACCACAAGAGGAAGAGACGGCUAACUCUGUGCCAGCAGCCGCGGUAAUACAGAGGUCUCAAGCGUUGUUCGGAAUCACUGGGCGUAAAGCGUGCGUAGGCUGUUUCGUAAGUCGUGUGUGAAAGGCGCGGGCUCAACCCGCGGACGGCACAUGAUACUGCGAGACUAGAGUAAUGGAGGGGGAACCGGAAUUCUCGGUGGAGCAGUGAAAUGCGUAGAUAUCGAGAGGAACACUCGUGGCGAAGGCGGGUUCCUGGACAUUAACUGACGCUGAGGCACGAAGGCCAGGGGAGCGAAAGGGAUUAGAUACCCGAGUAGUC